rnacentral:rRNA from 1 species
UUCCGGUUGAUCCUGCCGGACCCUACUGCUAUCGGGGUGGGACUAAAACAGGCGAGUCGCAUGAUGAAGUCGUGGCAUACGGCUCAGUAACACGUGGCUAACCUACCCUUGAGACGGAGACAACCCCGGGAAACUGGGGCUAAUCCCAGAUAGAUGAGAACUCCUGGAACGGGUUCUCGUCCAAAAGGUUUAGCGCUCAAGGAUGGGGCCGCGGCCGAUCAGGCUGUUGGUGAGGCAACGGCUCACCAAACCUUUAACCGGUACGGGCCGUGGGAGCGGGUGCCCGGAGAUGGGAACUGAGACAAGGUCCCAGGCCCUACGGGGCGCAGCCGUUGCGAAACCUCGUCAAUGCACGAAAGUGUGAACGGGCUACCCCGAGUGCUGUCCGCUGAGGACGGCUUUUCUCUGCUGUAAGGAGGCGGAGGAAUAAGGAGAGGGCAAGUUCUGGUGUCAGCCGCCGCGGUAAUACCAGCUCUCCGAGUGGUGGGGAUGUUUAUUGGGCCUAAAGCGUCCGUAGCCUGCCCUUCAAGUCUUUCGUUAAAUCCAGCGAUUCAAUCGUUGGACUGCGGGAGAUACUGUUCGGCUAGGGGACGGGAGAGGCCGACGGUAUUUCCGGGGUAGGGGUGAAAUCCUAUAAUCCCGGGAAGACCACCAGUGGCGAAGGCUGUCGGCUAGAACGCGCCCGACGGUGAGGGAUGAAAGCUGGGGGAGCGAACCGGAUUAGAUACCCGGGUAGUCCCAGCUGUAAACGAUGCAGGCUAGGUGUUUGGGCGGCUACGAGCCGCUCUAGUGCCGCAGGGAAGCCGUUAAGCCUGCCGCCUGGGGAGUACGGCCGCAAGGCUGAAACUUAAAGGAAUUGGCGGGGGAGCACCACAAGGGGUGAAGCUUGCGGUUUAAUUGGAUUCAACGCCGGA